UCAUCUGGUCUCAGGAAUUCAGCUAGAUAGGGAUCAAACCAUUCUGAACACCUACAAACUCAACAGGAGAUCAAAGAAAAGAAUAGCAACAACUCUCUGAACAGAAAAGCGACCACUUUCUGGAAGAGCAGAUAUGCUAGCAAUGAAAUUCUUCAGUUUUUGUUUGUUGAAGAAAGUCUUCAUUUCUCCUGAAUAUCGAAUUUCAGAAUGACAAGACAGAAAAACUCACCUCAAAAAAGAGAACAAGAGGCAGUACUGACUGCCAGAGACCUAAUCAGUAUGGAC